GAGGCGGGGCCGGCGCAGAGCGUCGCGGCGCUGGGGCAGGGCCCGGGACGGUGGAGGCCGGGCCGCGCCGGGCGGUAUGAUCGGCACCGUGCUCUGCUACGUGCUGCUGCCGGCGGCGCAGCUCGUCCGGGUCCUCCGAGAUGCUUACUUUACCUGUCGAAAGAAUGUACUUCUGGAGAAGAGCACGUCCACCCAGGUAGAAGCCAUCUUUGCUGCAGCCAGAGGAAGGGCAGUCCCAGAAGAGCAAGAAGCCCUUCUCCAGCAGCAGCUUGAGGAAGGAACAGAGAAUUUGCCAGCCAGUGAGAGUGCUUCAUCAGCAGGGAAAGUAUCAGAUACUCUCUCUAGUGACUGGUUAGAAGGUUCAGAGCUAUUGAUGACUAGCCUUAGUGACCUGAGUUCGGCUCCAGAAGUCACCCAGUGUGCUGGUCAGCAGCUCACAGAGCUACAUGCCUUGGCUUCUUCAGAAUUGCAAGAUCAUACAGUGACUGAACUGAAAAAACUACCAGCAAAGGAACCAGUGGCUAUAGCAGGCAGUGCCCCUUGGGCAGCUGUGGUGCCACAGACAGAUCACCAGACAGCUGGCUGUGCCACUAUUGAUGUAAAAGGGCCAAAUGAAGACCCAGCUGUGCUGGCCUGGAGUUUAGCACAUGAUGCGGAGACAGUGUCAACAGAACCCCCAGCGUGGCCCAUUCCAGAUAUGGUACAAUUCUGUCCUCUCCCAGCAGAGGUGCCCUACCACGAGAUUUUAUGGAGAGAGUGGGAGGAUCUUUCUGUCCAGCCCUGUGUGCUGGAGCAGGUCUCGAAAAACACUCCUCUCUUUGAAUUUCGAGUCAUGUCUUACAACAUCCUUGCCCAGGACCUGGUGGAGCAGGGCCUUGAUCUCUAUGUACACUGUCAUCCAGACAUCCUGAACUGGAACUACCGCUUUCCAAACCUUUUGCAGGAGAUCCAGCACUGGGAUCCUGAUGUUCUGUGUCUCCAGGAGGUGCAGGAGAACCAUUACUGGGAGCAGCUGGAACCGACGCUCAAGGAGAUGGGCUUUGCGUGCUUCUAUAAACGGAGAACUGGGACAAAGACAGACGGCUGUGCUGUGUGCUACAAGCACAGCAGGUUCCAGCUGAUCAGCCUCAGCCCCAUAGAAUUCUUCCGGCCUGGCCUGGAUGUUCUCAAUAGGGAUAACGUGGGCUUGGUGCUGCUGUUACAACCUCUGCUCCCAGAAGGCCUAGAGCUGAAGGCAGCCAGUCCUUUGUGUAUAGCCAACACUCAUGUGUUGUUCAAUCCCCAUCGGGGAGAUAUCAAACUGGCCCAGAUGGCCUUGCUUCUAGCAGAGAUAGACAAGAUUGCAAAAACUACUGAAGGCAGCUACUAUCCAGUCAUCUUGUGUGGAGACCUGAACUCUGUCCCUGAUUCUCCCCUCUACAAAUUCAUCCGGAAUGGUGAACUUUCCUACCAUGGGAUGCCAGCCUGGAAGGUGUCUGGUCAGGAGGACUAUUCCCAACAAUUCUGUUCACGGAAACUGCUGGCCCCACUGUGGCCGAGCUCACUGGGUGUAACAGACAGCUGCCAGUAUGUCACCCUGUGCCAGCCAAAGAAACCAGACAGACGUAAGUACAGCCGGGACUUCCUGCUCCAGUUUCGUUUUUGCGAUGUUGCCUGUGAACGACCACCACAGUUGGUCUUCUUGGAAGGUGUGACAGAUGCUAAACCAGACCGCCCUGCACACUGGCCCAAACCUCCUGCCGUGAUGGAAGACCCUGAUCCAGAGCCAUUCAUCCCAAGUGAUGGCUGUUCAUGUGCAGGUCUUCAGGUGUUAUCCAGCAUGGCCUCAACCUGACCUCUGUGUACAGCCACUUCCUGCCACAGAGAGGACGCCCAGAGGUCACAACAAUGCCCAUGGGGCUUGGAAUCACCGUUGAUUAUAUCUUUUACUCGGCAGAGCCUGUGAAGAAUGGGAACAGGGGUGGUCGCAGGCUGUACCGGGAUGGAGCCCUGAAGCUGCUUGGCCGCCUUUCCCUUCUCUCUGAAGAUGUCCUGUUGCUGGCAAAUGGCUUACCAAAUCCUUUUUGUUCAUCUGACCAUCUCUGCCUUCUUGCUAGUUUUGGCUUGGAGCUCUCUAGCAACAGAGAGAGUUAGUGUUGGUUCCCUUUGCCUAAAGAAAAGCUGUUCUGAGUUUAGCAGUUGAGGUUCUGGAUUGCACAACCUGCUUGCAUGAAAACUCAAUUCUUUGUCAUGCCCUAGAAGUUUCUCUUUCCCCUCACACCCUCACAAAAAGCAGGGAUUAGGAGAGUUGAAGUGCUUUUUGCAUUGGUAUUCUCUGCAAACCUGAUCUGUGUUCCCAGUGGGCUCGCAGGUGUAUUCAGGCAUUACCAUCUCUUAAAGGGAUCCUGAGUCCACUGCUUUGUUUUAGACAUAAGUCCCAUGUUUAUUUGUCCCUGUGUGAGAUCUUCAAGGAGCUGGGAAGGAAAGGGGCAGCACUGCCUACUUCUGGCUGGUUAAUUGCUACCAAGGAGCAGAGGUUGUAUGCACUGAUAUUUUAAAGCUUUGGUUGUUUUAAUUUCUUGGUAAUAGUUUUUGAAGUGUGGUUCUUCCAGGAUGAGUCGUCAUGUUGCCUUUGAGAGUGUUGGCUCUGCUAAGUGCUUGGAAAUGGCUUUUACUUAAUAAAGGUUUCAUGUAGGUGAAUGGUUUCUACAA